rnacentral:lncRNA from 1 species
UAUUUUUACCAAUCAAACCAUAAUCAGUGCCACUAACACAUAAGAUAAAAAAUAGAAUUUAAUGUCUUAAUUUAUCCUUAGGUGUCGUUACAAACCAUAUAUACUUCCCAUUAUUCCUUCAUUUUCUUUCCAAGCACGAGGUAACAAAACAUUUGUUCCACUUGUGAAAUUUCCACAUUUUAUAUGUAUUAAUUUUAAUCUUACAAUUUUAUCCAAAAAAAAAAUAUAUUCAUCAUGUAACACUCUUAAUUUGAAUUUAAGUAAAUAUUUUUUCAUUUA